GACGAACGCUGGCGGCGUGCUUAACACAUGCAAGUCGAACGGAAAGGCCCUGAUUUUGUGGGGUGCUCGAUUGGCGAACGGGUGAGUAACACGUGAGUAACCUGCCCUUGACUUUGGGAUAACUCCAGGAAACUCGGGCUAAUACCGGAUAGGAGCUCCUGCUGCAUGGUGGGGGUUGGAAAGUUUCGGCGGUUGGGGCUAGACUCGCGGCUUAUCCGCUUGUUGGUGGAGUAGUGGCUUACCAAGGCUUUGACGGGUAGGCGGCCUGAGAGGGUGACCGGCCACAAUGGGACUGAGGGACGGAGCAGACGCGUACGGGAGGCAGCAGGGGGGAAGAUGGCACAAUGGGCGGAAGCCUGAGGCAGCAACGCCGCGUGCGGGAUGACGGCCUUCGGGUGGUAAACCGAUGUCGCCUGUGACGAGGCGUGAGUGACGGUAAUGGGUAAAGAAGUACCGGCUAACUACGUG
rnacentral:rRNA from 1 species